rnacentral:pre_miRNA from 1 species
GGCAUGGAGUCCUGUGGUAUCCAUGAGACCACCUCAACUCCAUCAUGAAGUGUGAUGUGGAUAUCUGCAAAGACCUGUAUGCC